rnacentral:rRNA from 1 species
CUGCCUUCCUGCAGUCGACGGCAGCACGGGUGCUUGCACCUGGUGGCGAGUGGCGAACGGGUGAGUAAUACAUCGGAACAUGUCCUGUAGUGGGGGAUAGCCCGGCGAAAGCCGGAUUAAUACCGCAUACGAUCUACGGAUGAAAGCGGGGGACCUUCGGGCCUCGCGCUAUAGGGUUGGCCGAUGGCUGAUUAGCUAGUUGGUGGGGUAAAGGCCUACCAAGGCGACGAUCAGUAGCUGGUCUGAGAGGACGACCAGCCACACUGGGACUGAGACACGGCCCAGACUCCUACGGGAGGCAGCAGUGGGGAAUUUUGGACAAUGGGCGAAAGCCUGAUCCAGCAAUGCCGCGUGUGUGAAGAAGGCCUUCGGGUUGUAAAGCACUUUUGUCCGGAAGAAUCCUU